CCUACGGGAGACAGCAGUGAGGAAUAUUGGUCAAUGGUCGGAAGGCUGAACCAGCCAUGCCGCGUGAAGGUCAGUGCCCUUUGGGCGUUAAACUACUUUUGUGCGGGAGCAAUAAUGGUCACGUGUGGCCAGCCGAGAGUACCGUACGAAUCAGCAUCAGCUAACUCUGUGCCAGCAGCCGCGGCAAUACGGGGGAUGCAAGCGUUAUCCGGAUUUACUGGGUGUAAAGGGAACGUAGACGGCAGUGCAAGUCUGGAGUGAAAGGCGGGGGCUCAACCCCAGGACUGCACUUGAAACUGUACGGCUGGAGUGCAGGAGAGGGAAGUAGAAUUCCUAGUGUAGCGGUGAAAUGCGUAGAGAUUAGGAGGAACACCAGUGGCGAAGGCGGCUUACUGGACGGUAACUGACGUUGAGGUUCGAAAGCGUGGGGAGCAAACAGGAUUAGAUACCCGAGUAGUC
rnacentral:rRNA from 1 species